rnacentral:lncRNA from 1 species
UUACAGGUGCAUUCCUACCACUUUCACACGGUUUCCCAUGUCUGCAGUGCAAGCCAUUUGCCCUCUGAGCUGUCUCCUCAGCUCUCUUGCCCAUGUUCUUACCAUGCAUCUUGUUACUUUUUUUUUUUUUUUCUUAUUGGGCAGAGACCCAGGAUGCUGGUCCACUCUCACCCCUCGUUACUCAAGAUGUUUAUUUCCAUUUUAACUCGCUGUCUACAGAAGAGCUACAUGUUUGACUUUAGUGUAUUAAUUAAAGGCCUUCCCAUCUUAAUGUUUUUAUUUUUAUUUUUUUCAAGAAAAAGGAAAACUCACCCAACCAUGACUCCGGCAGAACUUUUGUAACUGCAACUGUUGCCAGUUCUCCUUCCCUUGUCCAUCAGUCCACCAUCCAUUCAUCUAUAAUGUGCAUAUGUACAUACAUAAUACAUACAUACUCCAUCCAUCCAUCCAUCCAUCCAUCCGUCCAUCUGUCCAUCCGUCCAUCCAUCCAUCUGUCCACCCACCCACCAGUGUCCACCCAACAUACAUACAUACAUACAUACAUACAUACAUACAUACAUACAUUUCCAGCUAUCAUAAUACUUACAUACAUAUGUACAUACAUACAUACAUAUGUCCAUACCUAUGUCCAUCUACUGGUAUAUGGCCAGUUCAUCAUCAUCCCCCCACACACCUGUCUAUCCACCCAUCAUCACACAUUAACCACCCAUCAUUCACCUAUUGUCUAUUCAUCAUUGAAGUGACCUAAGAGCUGUGGUGCGCAUUAAGAAUUUUAGAAACAAUUCUUUUUUCAAAGAGAUUCUGACGUAAGAACAUAGGGUUCCUAAACAGUGGUCAUAACAAAGCAGAGCCCCCCCCCCCCAGGAUGGUAGUUUAAUGUCUAUUGUUUGUACUAUUGGAGACUAUGAGUGCACAUGACAGAAAUCCAGAUCAAACUAGGUUUGUAAUCUCUAGCUUCAGAGAUAGCUAUUCCUCUACAUCUUUCUAUUUUCAGGAUGCCGUCCCUUUUUAUGCCUCCUUAGCUCUUGCCUUCCCAUUGACUCUUGUUGGAAGCCCUAGGCCUAUGACAUUCUUUAGUUGUGAGUCCAGAGAAUGGAAAAGACCCAACCCCCCUCUUCCAGGGUUCAUAGUGUUAAAUCUUAAGGAAGAGUUUCUCUGGUCUCGCUGAGGUCACAUGUACAUCUCUCAACCAAUCAUAAAUGCCAUUCUUUGUCAUUAGCUGGAGUCCUUAGUCAAUUCCUACAUUUGGAAGCUUUGGAGGGUUAGAGAGCAGAGAUGGUUUCCUACAAGAGACUUCACUAGGGAGACCUGGAACUUGUGGAAUGUGGCUCAUCAAAUUCCUUUGACUGGAAUUGUGGCUGACAAAGGUAGAAGGAGAGAAUGCUGGACAAGAAAGGAACAAUGAGGGGGGGGGACAGGGGGGAGGCAAAAUGCUCUUUGAGUUUUACAAGAUAAAAGGAGAGGAAGGUGCUUCCUGGAAUGGCAGAAACACAUGACUGUUCUCACACUUCGAGGCUGUCACCAGAAGUGUGCCAUGCAUGUGAGUGGUCAUAGAGGUACUCUCAGGACGUUUGCACCUUUACAACUGAUUUUUUUUUUUUAGACAGGAAAGUGAAAAACAUUGAGCCACUUGGUGAGCAGGCCAUGGAUGGUGGAAUCUGGCUGCUGCCUUCACUGUAAAGAAAGGAGUGUGAACGAAUCUAGGGGAAGCUGGGGCGUGGGGCAUGUAUGAUGGAACUAACGUGUACUAAAUUCUCAGAGAACCAAUGGUAACAGGGGAAUAACACAGCUAGUGAGUGUGGAAGGGGCUCCUUGGACACCUUGGUCGGGUUGUGUGCAUGCUACCCAUAAUUCCACGUUACUGCGGACAUUCUUGGUUACCCGUAAUUCCACGUUAUCGCCCACAUUCUCAGUUACCCAUCAUUCCACGGAGUCGCUGACAUUCCCAGUCACUCAUAAUUCCCUUUCUGCUUUGUUCCAGUCUCAUUGCAAACCAGAAAAGGCUAGAAAUCAUCAAUGAAGAUGACGUUGAAGCUUACGUGGGGCUGAGAAACCUUACAAUUGUGGAUUCCGGCUUAAAGUUUGUGGCUUACAAAGCGUUUCUGAAAAACAGCAACCUGCGGCACAUGUGAGUAGAGCCAUCUCUUUGCUUCCCAGGACCCGAUUUGUUCAGUAUUUUCCUCGCUCUUCUUUGUUUUCUUUCUUUGUCAACUCUAAACCUCCUUCUUAAAAGUUAGCAUAGCUGUGAUAAUAGCUUAGGAACAUUAGCUUUGAUUCUGUUUGAUUUCUGAAUGGCUUCAGAGGGGUACUUAGAACAGCCUGUUUAUUUCCUUUCAUGAACUUCUGGUUCAUUUCCAUCUUGGACCGAGCACUGGGCCAACGGCAAGGACUCUGAUGUGAAAAUGAUGUCCUUGUACAGAGUCCUCGAUUCUUUCCCUUGGAAUCAAGACACACUCCCUGGAAGACAUCAAGCUAACUAAUCAAGACACUGACGUGGCCUUGGACGGUUUAAGAAAAUAAAAAUUACUAUUGCUUUUCCCGGUAUAAUAGGACCAUUUGGACGUUCAUUUUUCUCAACAGCACGUUUGUGGGUUGAUAAAAAUAGAAAAAGAAAUAUCAAUCACGGUCUAUGCCAAAGCUCCAGGUGACGCUUAAUAAUAGGAACUGCUUUUCUUCCCAGUCCCGCUUGGUAUUUUGUUGACUAAAGUCAAUUGGAUAUGCAACAAAUCAGAGUUGUCAUGUGGUUCUCUGGCAAGUCCCCUCAAUAAUAAGAGUUAAGUCAAUAAACGAUGGCCUCCCUGAGACAUCCCAAAAGACACCUAAAAGACAAAUAUGACCACAGCCCCGCCCCACGCUCACAUUCCCUCACACUGUGAGUUUCCAAUGGGAAUCAUCUCCAGGAGGGCUGUUACCUGAUUCUUGUUGACCAAAUUCUCUUUGCAAUGAUAACUUUAGCAUUUUACAGUCUACCUGCGGGGUCACACCUAUCCGUUUCUCUUGCAUAGACUGAUGUCUGUAUUCCCAGGACAUAGGCUGAAACCACUCUGAGGGAGCUGGGGGACUUUAACCAGGUGACUAACUCACCAUGUUCUUAAGACAGGAGCAAAGGAGAUAAACUUUCUGCCAUUGCUAUCGUCUUGUAACAUCUGUCCCUCCUCCCUUCCCUGAGGUUGACAGUUCCUGGCCUGACUUCCAUGCUGGUUAUUAAAGCGCUCACUGUCUCAGAGCAGCCUGCCUGGGUGCUCGGUGGAGAUGUGUUGAUAUUACUGAAGACCUUAAUUUCAUAAAGUCAUUAUCAUGACUUCAUAUUUCAUCUGUGACAGGAAUGAUGAAGUCACUUUCUAAGAUGU